rfam:Otolemur garnettii contig123549, whole genome shotgun sequence.
GCCUUGCGCGGUGGUGUGUGCCUGUAGUCCCAGCUACUCGGGAGGCGCUUGAGUCCAGGAGUUCUGUGCUGUUGUGAGCUAUGCCGAUCGAUGUCCGCACUAAGUUCGGUAUCAAUGUGGUGACCUCCCGGGAACGGGGGACCACCAGGUUGUGUAAGGAGGAGUGAACCAGCCCGGUCAGAAAUGGAGCAGGUCAAAGCUCCUGUGCUGAUCAGUCGUGGGAUAGUACCUGUGAAUAGCCACUGCGCUACAGCCUGGGCAACAUAGUAAGAC